rnacentral:rRNA from 1 species
UCCUACGGGGGGCAGCAGUAGGGAAUUUUCGUCAAUGGGCGCAAGCCUGAACGAGCAAUGCCGCGUGAACGAGGAAGGUCUUCGGAUCGUAAAGUUCUGUUGAAGGGGAAAAAGAGCGGAGAGAGGAAAUGGUCUCCGAUUGAUAUUACCCUUCGAGGAAGUCACGGCUAACUACGUGCCAGCAGCCGCGGUAAUACGUAGGUGGCGGGCGUUAUCCGGAAUGAUUGGGCGUAAAGGGUGCGUAGGCGGCCUGCUAAGUCUGGAGUGAAAGGUACCGGCUCAACCGGUACAGGCUCUGGAAACUG